AGUGAACGCUGGCGGCGUGCUCAACACAUGCAAGUCGAACGAGAACGGAAUAUAGCUUGCUAUAUUUGUCAGCUAAGUGGCGCACGGGUGAGUAAUGUAUAGAUAACCUGCCCUUAAGAAAGGAAUAACAGUUGGAAACGACUGCUAAUGCCCUAUAUGCCUUUAAUACAUAAGUAUGCAAGGGAAACGCUUUAGUGCUUAAGGAUGGGUCUGUAUGGUAUCAGCUUGUUGGUGAGGUAAUGGCUCACCAAGGCUAUGACGCCUAACUGGUUUGAGAGGAUGAUCAGUCACACUGGAACUGAGACACGGUCCAGACUCCUACGGGAAGCAGCAGUGGGGAAUAUUGCACAAUGGACGAAAGUCUGAUGCAGCAACGCCGCGUGGAGGAUGACACAUUUCGGUGCGUAAACUCCUUUUAUAUAGGAAGAUAAUGACGGUACUAUAUGAAUAAGCACCGGCUAACUCCGUGCCAGCCGCCGCAGUAA
rnacentral:rRNA from 1 species